GCAGCCGCCGCGGUAAUACAGAGGGUGCGAGCGUUAAUCGGAUUUACUGGGCGUAAAGCGUGCGUAGGCGGCUUUUUAAGUCGGAUGUGAAAUCCCUGAGCUUAACUUAGGAAUUGCAUUCGAUACUGGGAAGCUAGAGUAUGGGAGAGGAUGGUAGAAUUCCAGGUGUAGCGGUGAAAUGCGUAGAGAUCUGGAGGAAUACCGAUGGCGAAGGCAGCCAUCUGGCCUAAUACUGACGCUGAGGUACGAAAGCAUGGGGAGCAAACAGGAUUAGAUACCCGCGUAGUCCCUGUCUCUUAUAC
rnacentral:rRNA from 1 species